rnacentral:rRNA from 1 species
GACGAACGCUGGCGGCGUGCUUAACACAUGCAAGUCGUACGGUAAGGCCCUUUCGGGGGUACACGAGUGGCGAACGGGUGAGUAACACGUGAGUAACCUGCCCACAACUUUGGGAUAACGCUAGGAAACUGGUGCUAAUACUGGAUAUGUGCUCCUGCUGCAUGGUGGGGGUUGUAAAGCUCCGGCGGUUGUGGAUGGACUCGCGGCCUAUCUGCUUGUUGGUGGGGUAGUGGCCUACCAAGGCGGCGACGGGUAGCCGGCCUGAGAGGGUGACCGGCCAAAUUGGGACUGAGAUACGGCCCAGACUCCUACGGGAGGCAGAAGGGGGGAAUAGUGCACAAUGGGCGCAAGCCAGAUGCAGCAACGCCGCGUGCGGGAUGACGGCCUUCGGGUUGUAAACCGCUUUCAGCAGGGACGAAGCUUUUUGUGACGGUACCUGCAGAAGAAGCACCGGCUAACUACGUG